UACGGAGGGUGCAAGCGUUAUCCGGAUUCACUGGGUUUAAAGGGUGUGUAGGCGGGUCUGUAAGUCGGUGGUGAAAUCUCCGAGCUCAACUUGGAAACUGCCAUUGAUACUAUAGAUCUUGAAUUUUGUUGAGGUAGGCGGAAUAUGUCAUGUAGCGGUGAAAUGCAUAGAUAUGACAUAGAACACCGAUUGCGAAGGCAGCUUACUAAGCAAAUAUUGACGCUGAGGCACGAAAGCGUGGGGAUCAAACAGG
rnacentral:rRNA from 1 species